UACAGAGGAUGCAAGCGUUAUCCGGAAUGAUUGGGCGUAAAGCGUCUGUAGGUGGCUUUUUAAGUCCGCCGUCAAAUCCCAGGGCUCAACUCUGGACAGGCGGUGGAAACUACCAAGCUGGAGUACGGUAGGGGCGGAGGGAAUUUCCGGUGGAGCGGUGAAAUGCGUAGAGAUCGGAAAGAACACCAACGGCGAAAGCACUCUGCUGGGCCGACACUGACACUGAGGUGCGAGAGCGUGGGGAGCGAACCGG
rnacentral:rRNA from 1 species